rnacentral:rRNA from 1 species
AUGAACGCUGGCGGCGUGCCUAAUACAUGCAAGUCGAGCGAACAGACGAGGAGCUUGCUCCUCUGACGUUAGCGGCGGACGGGUGAGUAACACGUGGAUAACCUACCUAUAAGACUGGGAUAACUUCGGGAAACCGGAGCUAAUACCGGAUAAUAUAUUGAACCGCAUGGUUCAAUAGUGAAAGACGGUUUUGCUGUCACUUAUAGAUGGAUCCGCGCCGCAUUAGCUAGUUGGUAAGGUAACGGCUUACCAAGGCAACGAUGCGUAGCCGACCUGAGAGGGUGAUCGGCCACACUGGAGCUGAGACACGGUCCAGACUCCUACGGGAGGCAGCAGUAGGGAAUCUUCCGCAAUGGGCGAAAGCCUGACGGAGCAACGCCGCGUGAGUGAUGAAGGUCUUCGGAUCGUAAAACUCUGUUAUUAGGGAAGAACAAAUGUGUAAGUAACUAUGCACGUCUUGACGGUACCUAAUCAGAAAGCCACGGCUAACUACGUG